CUUGGAUUUCUGUUAAUGAUAAAUGAGCCCCUGAGAGUUUGAGCAAGGCCCCAUGUGGGGAGGUAGCUGGGCAUUGUAGAAAUCAGGUCCUCUUGGGAGAGAAAACAAUGGACCCUUUGCCAAAUCAUUUAACUGACUGUGAUCAUCAUCUUUAUUAUUAUGGGGGAGUUGGUGGUGAGAGCAAUUGAAGAAAGGAAAAAGCAAGCUUUUGAAAGAACUUUAGGUGUAUAACUUGUGUUCUUCUGAUUCUGGGAUUUUUGCCUGAAAUGCUACUUUUAUUUUUGGUUAGGUGUUUUUUAGCACUUGUGUUACAGCAUUUGGCACACUAUGAUUUUGUGAUAUGUUAGCUGUGAAGAUGUUUAAAAUUAGAUUCCUAGAAAUCAGGCUGCAGGAGCCCUGGGCCACACUGCGUGGCCGCCCAGCAGUGGCUGUUUGUGGUCUCCUCGCUGUUGGAAGGAAGGACACCUGAGUCAUGCUGCUCUAAUGAUGUUAUUUGUUUUCUUUUUAAGUCUAAAGAAUAUACAGUCUUUUCAGCUCUCUUACAAACAAGUUUUGGUGUACUUGGAACAUGUUCUCAUUGUAUCCUUGAAAAACAGAUACACAUUUAAAAGUUACCCUGCUUUCUCUUUUCUCUAGUCUACUGAUCUUUGUUUUAUUCACUGCAACUUCAUGAGACAGAAACAAAGGAGUAGAAUCUCCACUUUGUACACACGGACGCGAAGGAGGCUGAGGGAUGUGCUCCAGUUAUUUCUCUGAGUUUCUAUCAUGAGAGGGAACCCAGGACUCUGGGCCGUUUAUUUUAUACAUUUCCAAAAAGGAUCUUCCCUCUUCCCCGUGGUUCACUCUGCGGGGGCCUCAUCUCCUGAGGCUGUUUCCUUGCCUUCAGUUUUGACAACUAUGAUUUAGUUUCCAAGAUGAUGAAAGAGUAGUGAAAAGGACAUGGAAAGAAAAAGCAGGAAGGGAAGGAAUUAUCUCAUGAUUUUAGUCAGAGGAAAUCACUC
rnacentral:lncRNA from 1 species